AUAUUCCACUAGGGGAGCUUAUAAGAGUAUAGGCUGAGAAAAAACCGCGCUAAAGGUUUUUGACCCUUUGGACCUGAUCUGGUUAAUUCCAGCGUGGGGAAGUGAGAUUUUGGUAAA
rnacentral:ncRNA from 2 species